UACGUAGGGUGCAAGCGUUGUCCGGAAUUAUUGGGCGUAAAGAGCUCGUAGGCGGUCUGUCGCGUCGGCUGUGAAAACCCGGGGCUCAACCCCGGGCCUGCAGUCGAUAUGGGCAGACUAGAGUGCGGUAGGGGAGACUGGAAUUCCUGGUGUAGCAGUGAAAUGCGUAGAUAUCAGGAGGAACACCUGUGGCGAAAGCGGCGCACUGGACCACAACUGACGCUGAGGCGCGAAAGCGUGGGGAGCAAACAGG
rnacentral:rRNA from 1 species